GAAAGAUGAAAAGAACUUUGAAAAGAGAGUUAAACAGUACGUGAAAUUGUUGAAAGGGAAACGAUUGAAGCCAGUCGUACCUUCGGGUAAUCAGCCUUUUCGGGUGCGAUUCUGUGGGGUUUGAGGAGCUUAACACCUUCAUGCUUUGCAUAUUCGUGCUCUUGGGUGUACUUGCCCGUGUGGUUGGUUAACAUCAAUUUCGGGCACCAUAAAAUGGCUGGAGGAAUGUAGCUUCGAUCUUGUAUUGAAGUGUUAUA
rnacentral:rRNA from 1 species